AUACAUACUUGGCAAGGGAGGUGCCAUAAUCAUGAAGAUGGAUUUCCUGGGAUGAGGCUUGUGUGUUGCACUCCAGAUGUGCUGACCCCUGCAGUUUCCCCAAAUGCUGUUGACUUGAUGGCAGAAUCUGUGGCAGUGGUAGACUGCACUUGCACUUCCCCU